rnacentral:rRNA from 1 species
GACGAGCCUCACAAACGUUAUUCGGAAUUACUGGGCUUAAAGGGUGCGUAGGCGGCGCGGAAAGUUGGGUGUGAAAUCCCUCGGCUCAACCGAGGAAUUGCGCUCAAAACUACCGUGCUCGAGGGAGAUAGAGGAAUGCGGAACUUAGGGUGGAGCGGUGAAAUGCGUUGAUAUCCUAGGGAACACCGGUGGCGAAAGCGGCAUUCUGGAUCUCAUCUGACGCUGAUGCACGAAAGCUAGGGUAGCAAACGGG